GGGAGGCAGCAGUAGGGAAUCUUCCACAAUGGGCGAAAGCCUGAUGGAGCAACGCCGCGUGGGUGAAGAAGGUCUUCGGAUCGUAAAACCCUGUUGUUAGAGAAGAAAGUGCGUGAGAGUAACUGUUCACGUUUCGACGGUAUCUAACCAGAAAGCCACGGCUAACUACGUGCCAGCAGCCGCGGUAAUACGUAGGUGGCAAGCGUUAUCCGGAUUUAUUGGGCGUAAAGGGAACGCAGGCGGUCUUUUAAGUCUGAUGUGAAAGCCUUCGGCUUAACCGAAGUAGUGCAUUGGAAACUGGGAGACUUGAGUGCAGAAGAGGAGAGUGGAACUCCAUGUGUAGCGGUGAAAUGCGUAGAUAUAUGGAAGAACACCAGUGGCGAAAGCGGCUCUCUGGUCUGUAACUGACGCUGAGGUUCGAAAGCGUGGGUAGCAAACAGGAUUAGAUACCCUGGUAGUCCACGCCGUAAACGAUGAAUGC
rnacentral:rRNA from 1 species